AGCGGAAAUCUUAUUACCAAAUUUUACAGGUUACAAAAAAUUUACAUUAUUUUAUCGGAGUGAUUACAAAAGUAUAAGCUUGAAAUAUAUGCUAGCUCAAGUGACCAUCCUCAAUAAGAAGUAUAGAAGAAGUACUUAGACUUAUAGAAGGCCGAGCCCACCGGCACUUAACACCAUCAUCAGCAGCACAAAACUAUGACCUGAAAAACAACAGGGGAUAAAACCCUGAGUAUGGAAUAACUCAGCAAGACUUACCCGACUAAAGAAAAGACUCUCAAGGAUAUGCUGGAUUUGGGAAUCAAGGAGAGGUUUUAGCAAGAAUCAACUUAGAUACUUUUGCAGAAUUAGCUAACUAAAGUGAGUCCUUACUUUCAAUAUUUUAAUGCCAGAUUAAAUAUUAAUAGACUAUGUUUGCAUCUGGUCUAAUUUCACCAUCUCAUCAAUAAAACUUCAUUUUUAUUCAUGAGGUUCACAUCCUGACUUAGGUUGCAGGGCAGCGAUCAAGUCUCCACUCUCCGGGGAUAUAACGGCGAUCCGAAUCGAUUUACUCAGCUGAGGAUCUCUAACCACACGACAUAUGUUUCUCGUAAACCUUGCAUGUCUACCAUUCCCACGGAUCCUCCACUGCAUGAACAGGUCCGCGCCACCCGAGAGCACACCACCCCUUUUAGGCGGUCCUUUGCUAGGAGGGUACGUGCCACUCUCGCCAUCUCUCCACUCCCAGUGCACGAUUGUCUUUUCAUGUAUGGAAUAGCCGGGUUCAAGCUUACCCUGUCCCAUUUCCAGGGCAUGUGGCUAGUUAAGAUAGUCCUUGAUCAACAGGCCUUCCAUCCUUAGGAUUGUUUGUGUUCCUUAGGAUGAAAAGAGCAUCAAAGGGAACUUUGCAGUAAGAUCCCACCACGCUCUUAAUGAAAAUAUUCUUUCAGGUAGAAGCCAUCUUUCCUCAAGAUAACCCCUGAGCUAGGCAUUAAUGCAAAAGGCAACCUCUAUCCACAAGAUCUAAGCAGGGCUAAGCAUUUU
rnacentral:lncRNA from 1 species